rnacentral:rRNA from 1 species
AUUGAACGCUGGCGGCAUGCCUAACACAUGCAAGUCGAACGGUAACAGGACUAGCUUGCUAGUUGCUGACGAGUGGCGGACGGGUGAGUAAUGUAUAGGGACUUGCCUAAUAGUGGGGGACAACAUGUGGAAACGCAUGCUAAUACCGCAUACGCUCUACGGAGGAAAGCGGGGGAUCUUCGGACCUCGUGCUAUUAGAUAGGCCUAUAUUGGAUUAGCUAGUUGGUAAGGUAAUGGCUUACCAAGGCGACGAUCCAUAGCUGGUUUGAGAGAAUGAUCAGCCACACCGGGACUGAGACACGGCCCAGACUCCUACGGGAGGCAGCAGUGGGGAAUAUUGCACAAUGGGCGAAAGCCUGAUGCAGCAAUGCCGCGUGUGUGAAGAAGGCCUUCGGGUUGUAAAGCACUUUCAGACGUGAGGAAAAGCAAUUUAUUAAUACUGAGUUGCCCUGACGUUAACGUCAGAAGAAGCACCGGCUAACUCCGUGCCAGCAGCCGCGGUAAUACGGAGGGUGCAAGCGUUAAUCAGAAUUACUGGGCGUAAAGCGCGCGUAGGCGGUUAUUUAAGUCAGAUGUGAAAUCCCUGGGCUCAACCUAGGAACUGCAUUUGAUACUGGAUAACUAGAGUAUGGUAGAGGUGAGCGGAAUUUCAGGUGUAGCGGUGAAAUGCGUAGAGAUCUGAAGGAACAUCAGUGGCGAAGGCGACUCACUGGGCCAUUACUGACGCUGAGGUGCGAAAGCGUGGGUAGCAAACAGGAUUAGAUACCCUGGUAGUCCACGCCCUAAACGAUGUCAACUAGGCGUAUGGAACUUUAUGUUCUGUGUAUCGAAGCUAACGCGAUAAGUUGACCGCCUGGGGAGUACGGUCGCAAGACUA